rnacentral:rRNA from 1 species
AGUGAACGCUGGCGGUAGGCCUAACACAUGCAAGUCGAACGGCAGCACAGUAAGAGCUUGCUCUUACGGGUGGCGAGUGGCGGACGGGUGAGGAAUACAUCGGAAUCUACUUUUUCGUGGGGGAUAACGUAGGGAAACUUACGCUAAUACCGCAUACGACCUACGGGUGAAAGCAGGGGAUCUUCGGACCUUGCGCGAUUGAAUGAGCCGAUGUCGGAUUAGCUAGUUGGCGGGGUAAAGGCCCACCAAGGCGACGAUCCGUAGCUGGUCUGAGAGGAUGAUCAGACACACUGGAAAUGAGACACGGUACAGACUCCUACGGGAGGCAGCAGUGGGGAAUAUUGGACAAUGGGCGCAAGCCUGAUCCAGCCAUACCGCGUGGGUGAAGAAGGCAUUCGGGUUGUAAAGCCCUUUUGUUGGGAAAGAAAAGCAGCAGGUUAAUACCCCGCUGUUCUGACGGUACCCAAAGAAUAAGCACCGGCUAACUUCGUG